rnacentral:lncRNA from 1 species
CCCUAAAUAAGUGAAGGAGGUCGAAUCCAUUGUUUCCACUAAAAGGUGAAGGAGGCUUUGAGGAUACAGUGAUGCAGACUGGAAGACACUCUUACCUGAAAGUUCCCUUCCACACACACAGUAGAAGAGCAUCAACUCCAAGUAUGGCGUGAAGACUAGAUAGAAGCGAGAAUGAUGAAUAUGGUUCCUUCUCAUAAGCUUUGAGUUGUUUUCCUCUGUUCAUCCUUCUGUGGAAGGUCUCAGCCAAACCCCAUCCAGAGGGAAUCUGUGGGUGAAGCCCCUCUUAUUGAAAGCAAUAAAUCCAUUCAUUUGUAGCUUCAGAUCUAGGCCACGCAAAGUUACAAGGCAUAACUGAUCAAUCGUCUCUCUUCCUUGUAAUGAAUUGAUCCAUUGCAUUUCAAUAGAUUGGCUUAUCACCAAGACUUCAUUUUCUGAGAAUUUCCAAGGUAUAUUAAAGGGAGUACAAAACAGCUAAGAGUUCAACAAGCAGAAGCUUGUGCAUGGUGAAACCUUUGUUUAGCAGGCUUAGCUUGGUUGCUUUCUGCUCCAUUCCCCAAUAUAGUAAAAGGCAAAUUGCUCUAAAAAUAGCAAACAAGUGUUCAUGUUUUCCUUCCAAGUUACAUGCCCAACAAACAUUGAGUCCAUCCGGCACCUAUUUGGCAGGGGAGCGAAGUUGGCAUAGAGGCCAGGCAGGGCUUGGUUCAAGUUAGUGAUGUGACUCAACCCUUGGCUGCGAUGUUGAGGAUGACCAUGAUACUUAAAUUUGUAUGGCACUUUCAAAUUUCUGAUGAGCUAUCGUUCUCUCAUUACAGUUCCUAACAAAAGCCAUGUAAGGUACAGCAAGUAUUAUUAUCCCCCAUAUUGGAGAUGUGGGGUCUGAGGCUUGAGAAAGUGGCCACGUCGUGAGUUUAUGGCAGAGCUAAGAUUCAAACCAGGGACUUCCUGAUUCACAAUUUCUAAGUCACAGUACUGUAGCAUCCCUCCUAAAGAAAGAUCCUCAGGUUGGGAAGCAGGUUUUGCAACACACCCGCAAAAGCUGUCAGCUUUAUAAAAGUUCUCCACCUGGGUAGAGAAUGUUAGUGUAAAAAAUAGUGUCUUGAGUUGUUGGGAAGAGGGAAGGUCUCUGGACUUAUUUCUCUGAAUAAGAAGUAUUAAGCAAGAUGCUGGCACAGUGUCUAUUGGCUGAACUGUUUGCCUCCAUAAUUGCAGGUUGGCUAUUCUACAUGGGUGGCGCUGUGGGUAAAACCUCAGUGCCUAGGACUUGCCGAUCGUAUGGUCGGUGGUUCGAAUCCCCGCGGCGGGGUGAGCUCCCGUCUUUUGGUCCCAGCUCCUGCCCACCUAGCAGUUCGAAAGCACCCCUAAGUGCAAGUAGAUAAAUAGGUACCGCUUUAUAGCGGGAAGGUAAACGGCGUUUCCGUGUGCUGCGCUGGUGCUGGCUGGUGCUGGCUCGCCAGAGCAGCUUCGUCAUGCUGGCCACGUGACCCGGAAGUGUCUUCGGACAGCGCUGGCUCCCAGCCUCUUAAGUCAGAUGAGCGCACAACCCUAGAGUUGGACACGACUGGCCCGUACGGGCAGGGGUACCUUUACUUUAUUCUACAUGUAAGUGUCUGGGGUCAAUUUUACACUUCAUGGACUGGGCUUCUUGUGGAUCCAAUCAAGUGGAGCUUCCUAGCUGCCUGAGUGCUAUGAAAUUCAUGGCAUUUAGUCUUAUUAUUAUACAGGCACCCAAAUCUCAGUGGCUGCUUCCCAAGAGGGUCCCUUUUGUCUCUAAUUAUACAGGCAGUAUUAUGUACACAUGAAUCACUGACUUUGCAAUGCCUCUCAAAAUAGAUAAAUGCCUGCAAAAGUCGGGAAUGAAACCCAGUUGUUUACAGCAGGCAGGGCAGGUAUUUUGGGAUGAAUGGUUUCAUUCUUUCCCAUCUAAUUGCUUUCCUCUCCAACUCAUUCACAGAAUGCCAGGGGUGAGACCAUUUUCCCAUUGCGAGUGACAAUGGAUUGGCUGGGGACAGACAGAAACCAAGUACCGGGUCUGAUAUUUUUAGGAGGGAGCUGGAUUUUGCCGCUGUUUUUAUAAGGAUGGUGGAGUGGGGAACUAUUCUGCCUCUGAAUUGCCUCCUUUGUUUCUGCCUGAUUGAUUUCCUGGAAUUCUUACAUAACUGGGUUGCCACUUAGAAAAAAAAGAAUAAGCAGCACCUGUGUAAAUGAAGUCAGCAGUGCCUGCAAAGGAAGAUCUGCAAACAGGAGGCUGCUUUCUUAGAAACCCAUCAGUUUCCAGUUUAUGUGUAGUUAAAGCCAUUAAACUUUACCAUCUGGCAGCCUGAAUUGCUACCAUUAUUAUUUUUACUUUUUACUCCUUUUUUGGAAAAAUGUUUAUUGUUUACUUUUUUGCAGUUUCACUGGGC